CCCUCGCUGCUAUGCUUUACCUGCCUGCUGUGUUCGCAGAUCUGCUUCUAUAAUAAUCAUAUAUUUUCUGAUGAAAAUUGACUGUCAUGAAUGCACUUUCAAAAACGAGUGGUAUUCUUCAUAGAAUUAAAAUUAGUUAUAUUGCUUAUAAUAUACUGUAGAAUUUACAGAAGAUACAGUACAGGUCAGACUGUACAGGUUCACCUGUAGUUGCACUGUCUCAAUAUAUAAAUUAUUAUACCUUACUCUUAUGCCUGUGGUCCUGUGCCAUGACAUGAAUUAGGAGUCAUGGAGAAGCUGCUGUAAAUAUCAAAUAAAGUCUCUUUGUUCAGGGUUAUUGCAGUUUCAUGAGGAAGAUUAGUCUCUCUGAUGCCAGUUUCUUAAGCCCACUUCCUGUUAUACCUGCUGUGAUGAAAGGGCCAUUGUCACAGGGAUGGGGCUCACCAUCCCAAGCAGGUGGCCAGAUUAUAGUACCCAUUUCUUACUCAAACCCCGUUAGUUUAUCUAUUUGAACUAUUCUCAGACUUUGGGAAUAAUUAUUGAGUUAUUGUAUAAAGUUACUGUAUUAAUAUACUUCCUUACCAGCAGUUGUGAGGUUACUACACUUGUUCAUAGUUCUGACUUUAUGUUUGAUUAUUUGGUCAGAGUCAACAUGCAGGGGUAAUACGUUUCAUACAGCUAUUGUCUUUCGUAAAAUGUAAACAAUCGACUUUAGCUGACAUGUGAUGUAUGUAAUACAGUUUAUUCAGUAUCGUCAGGUAAACCUGUCCGGGCACAUUUUUUCAUUGGGACCUGUGACGCAGCAUAACAGAGAAACGAUUCCUUUACUGUAAUCCUUUGGCUUCAGUUGUUCGUCUCCACCUCUUUGUCACAGCUAACCUGUAUAGCUGUUCUCGAGUUAAGAGAGGCCAGACACAGAUGUCAUGGCAAACAAUGAGGAUGCAUUGCGGGCCAUGCAGAACUGUUUCCACAGUCAGUUUAGUGUGGAUGAGGCUGAGUACGAGGACAUUGAGGAAAACAGGAGAACAUCUGUUGAUGAAGACAGUAUCUAUCUUGGCUGCACACUGUCACGAUCAUUCAACCCUGAAGACUCUCCUGUUAUCAAGAUGGGCUGGCUGCACAAGACCCCGCCUCAGGGGACCCUUGUUUUCCAGAAGCGUUGGGUGAUGUUGGAUGCACAGUAUCUUCGAUACUUUCAAAAUGAGAAGGGGGUCUACUCAAAGCGGAUCAUAGCCAUACUGUCUGUCACUGAAGUGCUUAAUGUUGGAGGGCAGAAGUUUGAGGUGGUGACAAGGAACAGGACAUUCUUGUUCCGUGCUGAGAACAACACCGUCAGGGAGGAAUGGGUGUCAGUACUGAAAGAGACUAUUCAGCAGCGUUGUAACAGCAUGGAGAUGUCCCUUAUGAACUUCAGUGAUACGAGUGGACAGCGUGCUAGCAGAGUCUCACUCAUUAGUAAGCAAGGAUACCUGGAGAUGAGUGGACUGCGCUCCAAGCUCUAUGUAGUCAUCUGUGCCAACAGUGUCUUCCUCUAUAGGAACGCUGAGGAGCACAGCCAGGGUGUUGGCAUCACCUCCAUUGAGAUGAAUUUGGGUACUGUGAAGGGCACAGACAAACGGUCCUUCAACCUCACCACCUUCUACAGGACAUUCAGUUUUGUGGCCGAGUCGGAGCAGCAGCGGGAGCAGUGGGUUGAGGCCCUGCAGGCCUGUGUCAGUCACUCUCUGUCCAGCAACGCGGUGGCCCAGAAGAUCUGGUCGGAGGAGGCCAACCAGCGCUGUGCAGAUUGUGGCGCCCCCCACCCAGACUGGGCCUCUGUCAACCUGUGUGUGGUCCUCUGCAAAUGCUGUGCAGGGGUGCACAGGGGUCUGGGUCAGAGUGUGUCCAAAGUCCGCAGUCUGAAGAUGGAUGAAAAGGUGUGGACUGAAAAUCAGCUGUUCCUGUUGCUAGGUAACGACAAAGUAAACCUUUUCUGGGCAGCUAACAUUCCACCAAGUGAGAUGCUCUGUACAUCAAGUGACAGUGAGGAGCGCAAGCGCUUUGUUACUGCCAAGUACUGCCAGGGGAAAUACCGCCGCUACCAUGCACUGUUUGGCCAACAGGAAGCCCUCAACAAAGCUCUGUGCAACACCAUUCAGACAGGUGAUGUAUUGGAGACUCUGUCACUGGUGUUCUGUGGAGCAGAUGUGAACUGUUAUACAGGUGAUCCAGAGCUGCCCAGCCCUGUUUCCAUUGCCCAGCACUAUGGACAGACACUUCAGGUGGAGUUCCUCACUCACAACCACAACACAGAGCUCCCAGGGUCAAGGGCUGGAGAUCACACAAUCUUAGAGGCUGCUCUCCCCAUCUCACACAGUGGUUAUCUGUUCAAGACUGCCUCCUCAACACGAGCAGUUACAGAGCGCAAAUCUAAAGGAGAUUUUAGUCGUCGCUGGUGCUCUUUGAACCAAGGUAACUUCAGCUACUAUGAGAGUGAGAAGAGCUCCAGCCAGAGUGGACAGAUGAAGAUGAGUGAUGUCCUUUGUUUGGUGGUCAAUCCCCAAGGGAAACAUGGUUAUGGUCAUUCCUUUGAGCUGUACCAUGACUCUGGGAGAGUCUACCUGUUUGGAGAGGAUUCCCCUGACACGGUGAGGGAGUGGAUCAAGGCCAUUGGCAAGGCCCUGGUCCCCCCUGUAGCAGAGGACCUGGUGGGCUGGUCCUUUGAGCGGGUGGGCCGGCUGCGCUACACUGCGGGCCAGAGCUUCCAUUGUCCUUGCCUGGGCUGGUUCUCCCUGGGGGGCUCCAGACUGCUCCUCCUCCCCCACGGAGAAGACCACGCGGAUAACAUCGACCUGCGAAAACUACAGGAGCUCUCCGUGGAGCAAGAAGCUGCUGCUGUGGUGCUGGUGGACAGAGGCAGGAGGCUGCGUUUGGAGGGGGACAGGAGGCCUGACUUCCAGGGCUGGCUGAUUGGCAUCCAGCAGGGCUUAGGGAGAGGAGACGGCCCCCUGGACCAGCAGCAGCUUACUGAGACAGAAGUCCCUGUCAUCGUGGACUGCUGCAUUAGCUAUAUCACACAGCAUGGUUUGAAGUCAGAGGGCAUCUAUCGGAGGUCUGGUGUAAACUCUAAGAUCGCCGCCCUGCUGUUCUCUCUCCGCCAUGACCCCCGUCAGGUUCGUCUGAGUGAAGGGGAGCGCCAGGUGGAUAAUGUGGCCAACGUCCUGAAGAGGUUCCUCAGGGAAGUGGGAGAGGGGGUUUUCAAUGGCCAUCAGGCCUCUCUGCCAUGGCUCCAUACCACUACUGUCAGUGAGAGAAGAGAGAGAGUGUCCCAGUACAAGGCCCUCCUCCACAGCCUCCCCCUAGUCAACAGAGCCACUCUGGGGGCUGUCAUCAACCACCUCUACUGCGUCCAGUGCUUUGCAGAUGAGAAUCAGAUGAACAUGCACAACCUGGCCAUUGUGUUUGGUCCCACGCUCUUCCAGACGGACGGCACUGAUAACAGCGCAGGACAGGUGGUAGAGGAGCUCAUCCAGAACUACCAGGAUAUCUUCAAUGUGAAUGCCGAGCAGCUUCAGAAGCAGCUGGACAUGAUCUCUCAUGUCAUCAAAGCACAAGAAGAACACACCGAGGAGGGGACCCCCUCACCUCUCACCAUCUGUGGGGUUUACCUGGAGAGGAAGGAGGAGGGCUCUGAGCUGCUGGUUCAGAUCUCCCAGGCAGUGAGUGCUGAGGAGCUAGUGUGUGAGGUCCUGAGACGCGGGAACAUCCCUACACAACAGGGGGAGUAUUGGAGCUGCUUCCUGGUCAACGACAACCAGGAGAUGGAGCGUCCAUUGCACUACCAGGAACGAGCGCUGGCCAUCUAUUUCUCUCUGGGUAAAGACUGUCACCUGGUGGUCAAGAGGAACUGCUACAUGGAUGCCAUGUUAAUCUACAUAGAGUACUCAGCCUGAGAGGGAAUGUCAAGUCCAUGCUCUGAAAGUCUACUAUGGCAUCAAGAAGAGGCUACAGCCACCAUCAUGCUGGGGGAUGACUGUAGUGUGUGAGCAGGCAGAACGAGACAAACAGCAGUG